rnacentral:rRNA from 1 species
CCUACGGGAGGCAGCAGUGGGGAAUAUUUGACAAUGGGGGGAACCCUGAUCCAGCCAUGCCGCGUGUGUGAAGAAGGCCCUCGGGUUGUAAAGCACUUUCAGUGAGGAAGAACGCCUGGUGGUUAAUACCCAUCAGGAAAGACAUCACUCACAGAAGAAGCACCGGCUAACUCCGUGCCUGCAGCCGCGGUAAUACGGAGGGUGCGAGCGUUAAUCGGAAUUACUGGGCGUAAAGCGCGCGUAGGUGGCUUGAUAAGCCGGUUGUGAAAGCCCCGGGCUCAACCUGGGAACGGCAUCCGGAACUGUCAAGCUAGAGUGCAGGAGAGGAAGGUAGAAUUCCCGGUGUAGCGGUGAAAUGCGUAGAGAUCGGGAGGAAUACCAGUGGCGAAGGCGGCCUUCUGGACUGACACUGACACUGAGGUGCGAAAGCGUGGGUAGCAAACAGGAUUAGAUACCCCUGUAGUC